rnacentral:lncRNA from 1 species
GACAAUGAUGUAGCUGAUGAUGAUUUUAUGGCCAGGAACAUACCAGCUUCUGGCAAAGGACUUGAUCAAGAACUGAUUUGAAAACACACCUUGAAGUCAUCGAAGAAGAGAUCCUGAGAAUCUUUCAGGGGAAGUGAGAGCACAGUUGGAUGGUUUUCAUUUGACCAAUAAGGAAACCUGCAGCGGUAAUUUGUUAAUCAGCCCUAAGCUCACCGCUUCUGCAACUCAACUAUUAAGGAAAAGGCCUCAUUGGAGUGUUUUGGAAUGCUAUGAUUUUGAAGGGAAUGACCUGAAAAUACAGAUGGACACUAGGGUUCUACAUACUCUUGGGACUCACUGCAGCCAUUUUCUACAGCAUGUCCUACCUUGGGGAUCUGAUACAUAAUGUGUUCAGGGCUACUGUAUGAAUGUUCAGCAAUGAGAAAAG